rnacentral:rRNA from 1 species
AGCGAACGCUGGCGGCAGGCCUAACACAUGCAAGUCGAACGAACCUUUCGGGGUUAGUGGCGGACGGGUGAGUAACACGUGGGAACGUGCCUUUAGGUUCGGAAUAACUCAGGGAAACUUGUGCUAAUACCGAAUGUGCCCUUCGGGGGAAAGAUUUAUCGCCUUUAGAGCGGCCCGCGUCUGAUUAGCUAGUUGGUUGAGGUAAUGGCUCACCAAGGCGACGAUCAGUAGCUGGUCUGAGAGGAUGAUCAGCCACAUUGGGACUGAGACACGGCCCAAACUCCUACGGGAGGCAGCAGUGGGGAAUCUUGCGAAAUGGGCGAAAGCAUGACGCAGCCAUGCCGCGUGAAUGAUGAAGGUCUUAGGAUUGUAAAAUUCUUUCACCGGGGACGAUAAUGACGGUACCCGGAGAAGAAGCCCCGGCUAACUUCGUG